rnacentral:lncRNA from 1 species
UGGUGUGUUACCUCUAUUAAACUUCUGGCAGUAACAAUUUAAGGUCGAACAGGUUAUAUUUAGAACGUAAUCGUGUAGAUGCCAAUAACCAUGAACGGUUACUGAGUAAUAAUUGGACCGUUCUUCAUGUAUAUUAAUGAGUAAAUCCGCGGAGAUUGAUAGUGAAGGUUGAGAAAUACUGAUCUUAUUCAAAUCCCUUAAGUUAAUACUGUAAUAAGGAGACCAUCUUUGAAACAAUUACGAAAGUCGUGAAUGUACAAGUGGAAAAGUUUACAAGCCUAUCUGCUGUAAGGACAUUCUUGCUGUGUAGAUUGCUCCAGAAGAAUUUGCUGUGAAUAUCACAUCUGUGAAGGCAAAACAGCACUUCUCCUUUUGGUCAUUUAUCCUAAAUCUUCCUUCAUAUCGUGCCUGGAAGCUUGGUUUGAAGAAAGGUAAGAUUUCUGUUUUAUUAUAUUGUAAUUUUGCAAUUAUUUUAAACAAUUCAAGGAUCACAAUAACAACCCUUUAUUUCGAAAGCAGUGAUGUCUGGUACAAAGGGGAAAUAUGCAGAUAAAUGGCCCAGAUAGCCAAGCUGGAGUGACAAAGGUUGUUACAAUUUCAGUCAUAAAUGCUUUAAAAUAUUUCCAUAUGACAUAUAGGUGCUUCGCAAUGAAUUAGAAUGUCGUGAAAAAGUUCAUUUAUUUCAGUAAUUCAACUGAAAUUGUGAAACUUGUGUAUUAAAUCAAUUCAGUGCACGCAGACUGAAAUAGUUUAAGUCUUUUGUUCUUUUAAUUGUAAUGAUUUUGGCUCACAUUUAACAAAACCCCACCAAUUCACUAUCUUAACAAAUUUUAAUACUUCAUAAGACCAAUAAAAAAAAAUAUAAAAAAUUGUGAAUUGUUUGCCCUCUGGAA